rnacentral:rRNA from 1 species
GAUGAACGCUGGCGGCGUGCCUAAUACAUGCAAGUCGAGCGAACAGACGAGGAGCUUGCUCCUCUGACGUUAGCGGCGGACGGGUGAGUAACACGUGGAUAACCUACCUAUAAGACUGGGAUAACUUCGGGAAACCGGAGCUAAUACCGGAUAAUAUAUUGAACCGCAUGGUUCAAUAGUGAAAGACGGUUUUGCUGUCACUUAUAGAUGGAUCCGCGCUGCAUUAGCUAGUUGGUAAGGUAACGGCUUACCAAGGCGACGAUGCGUAGCCGACCUGAGAGGGUGAUCGGCCACACUGGAACUGAGACACGGUCCAGACUCCUACGGGAGGCAGCAGUAGGGAAUCUUCCGCAAUGGGCGAAAGCCUGACGGAGCAACGCCGCGUGAGUGAUGAAGGUCUUCGGAUCGUAAAGCUCUGUUAUUAGGGAAGAACAAAUGUGUAAGUAACUAUGCACGUCUUGACGGUACCUAAUCAGAAAGCCACGGCUAACUACGUG